ensembl:snRNA U2 U2 spliceosomal RNA
GCACCUUCCAGUGGUUUGUUUAGCAUUAAAUUUGUAAUAAUUAAUAAUAUCUGAUACGUCCCCUACCCGGGGACCAUAUAUUAAAUUGCUUUUUGGACAAGGGAGAUGGAAUUGGGGCUUGCUCCGUCCACUCCACGCAUCAACCUGGUAUUGCAGUACUUCCAGGAAUGGUGCACCCCCU